rnacentral:rRNA from 1 species
ACGGGAGGCGCAGUGAGGAAUAUUGGUCAAUGGGCGGAAGCCUGAACCAGCCAAGUCGCGUGAGGGAGGAAGGUCCUACGGAUUGUAAACCUCUUUAGCCGGGGAGCAAUAAGCGCUACGUGUAGCGUGAUGCGAGUACCCGGAGAAUAAGGAUCGGCUAACUCCGUGCCAGCAGCCGCGGUAAUACGGAGGAUCCGAGCGUUAUCCGGAUUUAUUGGGUUUAAAGGGUGCGCAGGCGGUCGAUUAAGUCAGUGGUCAAAUCGUGGAGCUCAACUCCAUCCCGCCAUUGAUACUGGUUGACUUGAUUCCGGUCGAGGCAGGCGGAAUUCGCGGUGUAGCGGUGAAAUGCAUAGAUAUCGCGAAGAACUCCGAUUGCGUAGGCAGCUUACCAGGCCGGCAAUGACGCUCAUGCACGAAAGUGCGGGGAUCGAACAGGAUUAGAUACCCUGGUA